AUGGACGACGUGGGUCAAAGUGUAGUAUCUCUUCUUAUAAGCGUCAUAUCUGAUACGGGUUGUAUUUGGACCCAAGAUAUUAAACUUGUUUUUGCAAGUUGGCGGAGUGCUUGUAGCCUGCUUCACCUCCGCCGAUUUCGAUGCUGUUGCAUAUAAAAGGUGUGCUGCCAAAAUUGCCAUUAC